rnacentral:rRNA from 1 species
AUUGAACGCUGGCGGCAGGCCUAACACAUGCAAGUCGAGCGGUAACAGAUCCAGCUUGCUGGAUGCUGACGAGCGGCGGACGGGUGAGUAAUGCAUAGGAAUCUGCCCGAUAGUGGGGGAUAACCUGGGGAAACCCAGGCUAAUACCGCAUACGUCCUACGGGAGAAAGGGGGCUUCGGCUCCCGCUAUCGGAUGAGCCUAUGUCGGAUUAGCUAGUUGGUGAGGUAACGGCUCACCAAGGCAACGAUCCGUAGCUGGUCUGAGAGGAUGAUCAGCCACAUCGGGACUGAGACACGGCCCGAACUCCUACGGGAGGCAGCAGUGGGGAAUAUUGGACAAUGGGGGCAACCCUGAUCCAGCCAUGCCGCGUGUGUGAAGAAGGCCC